GCGGUGGAGCAUGUGGCUUAAGUUCGAAGCAACGCGAAGAACCUUACCAGGUCUUGACAUCCCUGGACAACCCGAGAGAUCGGGCGUUCCCCUUCGGGGGACAGGGUGACAGGUGGUGCAUGGUUGUCGUCAGCUCGUGUCGUGAGAUGUUGGGUUAAGUCCCGCAACGAGCGCAACCCUCGACCUUAGUUGCCAGCAUUCAGUUGGGCACUCUAAGGUGACUGCCGGCUAAAAGUCGGAGGAAGGUGGGGAUGACGUCAAAUCAUCAUGCCCCUUAUGACCUGGGCUACACACGUGCUACAAUGGGCGGUACAAAGGGUCGCGAACCCGCGAGGGGGAGCCAAUCCCAAAAAGCCGCUCUCAGUUCGGAUUGCAGGCUGCAACUCGCCUGCAUGAAGCCGGAAUCGCUAGUAAUCGCGGAUCAGCAUGCCGCGGUGAAUACGUUCCCGGGCCUU
rnacentral:rRNA from 1 species